rnacentral:rRNA from 1 species
CUGUUCGCCAUUUAAAGAGGUACGUGAGCUGGGUUUAAAACGUCGUGAGACAGUUUGGUCCCUAUCUUCCGUGGGCGCUGCAGAUUUGAGGAAGCCUGCUCCUAGUACGAGAGGACCGGAGUGGACACACCUCUGGUGUACCGGUUGUCACGCCAGUGGCAUCGCCGGGUAGCUAAGUGUGGAAGAGAUAACCGCUGAAAGCAUCUAAGCGGGAAACUCGUUUCAAGAUGAGAUCUGCCGGGGGCUUGACCCCCCUAAAGAGUCGUUCUAGACCAGGACGUUGAUAGGUCAGGUGUGGAAGCGCAGCAAUGCGUUAAGCUAACUGAUACUAAUUGCUCGUGCGGCUUGACCCU